UAUGUGCUGACACGCUGAUCCUUACAUCAAAGAUACCAUUUUGGCAAAGAGUCAUACAGGAGUAAGUAUACAGUGGUGAAACUUCUAAGCGAAAUUUUAUGAAAAUUUUACAAAUAUGCUAACAGGUGGUGCCAUUUUGCACUGAAGAUGCAUGGCCUGGCCUGGCCAGCAAGAUUACACGAAGUGCAAGUUUGUGGACUAGUGCUGAGCCCACAAAUAUACUGCAGAUUCUAAGCCCAGAUUCACUGUUUUCUCCCCAGGAAUGUGAACUUGUUCAUCAGAAUGCUUCAAGCAGAAAAUCUAGCCGUAGACAAAAUGUAAGCCUGCAUGAUCUUCAAGUUUCUCAAUUUGGCUACAGAAGGAAGUGACUAUUGGUUUUCUCUAUCCAUAGGUUGACAGUGCAUCAGAUUGUACGCUUCCUUCUAACAAUGAAGACGUGAGUGCGCUUGCGUGUGUUUUCAUUUAUCCUGACGCAUGCAGCACAUGCUAUGUGAGCGUAUUCUAAGGCGGUAAUUUCUUGUACCAACAGGUGGUUGACCAAAAAGUUGUUCUGAAUCAACUAAUAAAAAAGUUACUCCUAUGCAAAAAAUAAGCUUUUAUAAUAUGACUAUCAUGCUUAUUGUUGCAGGUCGAGACAAGGGACAACUUUACGCAAUGGGAGGAGACACCAGCUGAGCGCACAUAGGCAUCGAGAGAUCACUAUUGAAGCACCUCCUUUGCCAUAAAAAGCAUUUGUUUCCAAUUUCUUACAUCACAAGACAUACUGUUCUACACAGGAGUUUCAGUUACAGUUUUUAACAAACUUGUUGUGAAACUGAGACAAAUGGAAGCUAAAAUACCGAAGAUUUUAAGUCUGAAAAACCAGCUGCUUCUAACACUAAUGAGACUGAGACUCGGCCUGCUUUGUGCAGACCUGGCAAGGAGGUUUGAGAUUUCAGUGGCAAGUGUGUCGAAAAAUUUUUCCAACAUGCUGCACCACUUGGAGAAGAUUAUGGAAGAUGUAGUGCUUUGGCUUCCGCGAGCAGCUGUUUAUGAUAGCAUGCCACAGAGCUUCAUUAAGAGUGGAAAUGGCCGUACUACAUGCAUCUUUUAUUGCAUAGAGGUGCUACUCGAAAGGCCCAGAAAACUUCUUGCGAGAGCACAAAGCUACAGCUCGUACAAAGGCUCUAACACAGUGAAAUUUCUCACAGUAAUAGCACCCAAUGGCCUUAUUAUGUUUGUGUCAGACGUGUACGGCGGAAGGGCCUCAGAUAAGUUCAUUGUUAGAACAUGUGGUGUUGAAGAUUACCUUCUCCCAGGUGACAAUAUUAUGGCUGACCGAGGUUUUAAACUCGAACCUCACCUUGCAGCACAAGGCAUCAACAUGAAUACACCGCCCUUCACCAAGGGGCAGGUGUUUUUGUUAUUUUACUGCAGUAUGCAAUGUUGUUUUUUUAUUUAGUAAUAUGGCUUGCAUUUUGACUCUUAGGAAAGACCCAACUUUCUGAAGAGGAAGUUACACGAACAAGACGAAUUGCCUCAGUGCGUAAUACAUGUUGAAAGGGCAACAAAUAGGAUAAAGACAUAUCGUAUCUUCAAGCAUGCUGUGGCAAUUAAGCCCAGGAUGCAUAUCAAUGCAAUUGUUUUUGUGUGUGCUGGACUGUGCAACUUGAAAGGACCGUUAAAUAAAAAAAAUGAAUAAAACGGACAGGCAUAUCAGCAUGAAUACACUGGCCUUCACCAGGGGAAAGACCCAACUUGCUAAACAGGAAGUUAGAAGAACAAGACGGGUUGCCUCAGUGUAAAUACACGUCCAAAGGGCAAUAUGAACAGGACAAAGACAUCGUAUCGUCAAGCAUGCUGUGGCAAUAAAGUCCAGGAAGCAUAUCAACCCAACUGUUUUCAAGCGUGCCAGAUUCUGCAACUUGAAAUGACUUUAAUUAGAAAAUAAAUAAAAUGGACUGGCAAAUUUGCAUCACAGCAAUUUCACUUCAACUUAAAAGCCAAUGCAAAUUGGCAAAACUGAGUUACCACGCUUUCCGACUGUGCUGCACCUGUUUUCAAGAUAUGCUUGCCUGCUCACCCAAGCACUUUGAUGCAACAAAUUGGGAAGCAGUACACUUGCUAUGGGUGCUUUAUUGAAAUGUUUCAUGUUGGUGGACUAAAAGCAACUUGCUAGACAUGCAAGGUGAAUAUCAGGAAUUGAACAUUUCAGGAAAAUUCUGACUGAGAAAAUUGAAUUCAUUCUAGAGGCUGACGAACGGUGGUAAGAACAUAGAAGGCGUCAUGCCGAUACAGCUUCAAAACAGUCAGUACCUACAAUAAAGCUGAACGCUUGUGUUAGGAGUAGUGAUGCAGAACUAUCCAUGGUACUAUCGAUAGCGCUAUCGAUAGCAAAAAAUUCGAUGGUACUAUCCAUAGUGUGAAAUCAACAGCACGAACUCAUUGCAGAAUAAUCUUGGUGCCCCGCACGCAUAGUACAUAGUGGAGCCGGAGAAGCAGGCUCAAGGGCAAGAAAAAUGACACGCUUGUGUUCUUCAGCCUCAGUGCUUCGCUGACAGAUGAUCAUAAAGUCAAACUGUUCAGCUGUAGCGGUAAGGAAGGCGUUACAUGCGGUGGAACUGCGCGGCUUCAAAUUUAUCUUGCAUUUUAUUAUUUAAAAAUUUUAAAAUAUAUCAUGAACUAGGUGUGUUAAUUGUAAGGUGCAACUGGUUGCUUUUGGAUGUGACUUUAUUGAUGGACAUACUGCGCCAUUUUCACUGCGGAAAUUAUUUCUUUCGCCAAAAAGUACUCAAAAAUUAAGCGAAGCUGAUAGUAGGCUACCGCAAAUAUGUUGCCGAUUUGGCCGGCCAGCAACAGCAUCAUUAAUCAGACCACUAUUGAUAGUAGUGUCACGUGGUUGUGACGGUGAAAAAUGGCGCACCAAGACUGGGAAAUGCGGAGCUCUUUAUUUGGGCGAACUUGCGCCCGGAAAAUCAAAACUCCAUACACAAGCGAUACACGCUGCGCACUGAUAGUGGCAAGAACAGUCGUCGGCCGCCGAGUAAUCUGAUCAUCGGUGGAAUGCGUCGUCUUUUAUACAUCAGUCAUCGAACCUUCCAGCGUUAUCGCUGGUGCUCGCGUAAGCUCUCGAAUAAACUUGACUAUUCACGUCCGGCGCAUAAUCUUAAGCAAAUAAUCUCAAACAAUUGUGAAGCUUCAACACUUUAGCAGCCCAUAGAAUAAGAACUGUAAACCUACUAGUUUGCAUGGUCUCUGCACAUUUGCGUAGAGGUGUACAUAACAUACAACCAAACACAUUAGUAAUACACUGUAUGUACACUGGCAGCCCACCUUAUGCCUUCAUGUGUUACGCCCCUUGCCAAGCUACAAUUGCAACCUGGGUAACACUAUUUAUUUAUUUAGUUAUUUUCAAAUACUGCAGCCCAAUGCAGGGCUAUUGCAGGAGUGUGGUACAUACAAUAGGAAAGAAUAACAGUAACAUCACAACAAGUUCUUCUUCAGAACAAAUAUCGCCACCUCUUGAGCACAACCGGGUACAUAAAUGAA
rnacentral:lncRNA from 1 species